UAGGCGGGCUUAUAAGUCAGGUAUGAAAGACCGGAGCUCAACUCCGAGUUUGUGCUUGAAACUGUAAGUCUAGAAUCAGGGAGAGGUAAGCGGAAUUCUUAGUGUAGGGGUGCAAUCCGUAGAUACUAAGAAGAACACCAAAAGCGAAGGCAGCUUACUGGAACUCGAUUGACGCUGAGGGACGAAAGCGUGGGGAGCGAAGAGGAUUAGAUACCCUCGUAGUCCACGCCCUAAACGAUGAUAACUAAGUGUUGCAUGUAGAUGCAGUGCUGUAGCUAACGCGUUAAGUUAUCCACCUGAGGAGUACGGGCGCAAGCUUAAAACUCAAAGGAAUAGACGGGGACCCACACAAGCAGUGGAUCACGUGGUUUAAUUCGACAAUAAACGGGGAAUCUCACCCAGACUUGACAUCCUGAGAAUCUUUGAGAAAUCAGAGAGUGCCUUUACGGGAGCUCAGUGACAGGUGCUGCAUGGUU
rnacentral:rRNA from 1 species